AGCGAACGCUGGCGGCAGGCUUAACACAUGCAAGUCGAGCGGGCAUCCUUGUGGUGUCAGCGGCAGACGGGUGAGUAACGUGUGGGAACGUGCCCUUCGGUUCGGAAUAACUCAGGGAAACUUGAGCUAAUACCGGAUACGUGCGAGAGCAGAAAGGUUUAUCUGCCGAAGGAUCGGCCCGCGUCUGAUUAGCUAGUUGGUGAGGUUAUGGCUCACCAAGGCGACGAUCAGUAGCUGGUCUGAGAGGAUGAUCAGCCACACUGGGACUGAGACACGGCCCAGACUCCUACGGGAGGCAGCAGUGGGGAAUAUUGGACAAUGGGGGCAACCCUGAUCCAGCCAUGCCGCGUGAGUGAUGACGGCCUUAGGGUUGUAAAGCUCUUUUCUUCGGGACGAUAAUGACGGUACCGGAGGAAUAAGCCCCGGCUAACUUCGUG
rnacentral:rRNA from 1 species